rnacentral:rRNA from 1 species
AAGUUGCCUCUUAAUUAGAGGCUAGAAUCAACGAACUAACGCGAGCCCCCCUGUCUCUCUUAUGCCCCCAAAACUUAACCUUUAGGUGAAAAUGCCUAAAUACAACUAAUAGACAAGAAGACCCUAUCGAGCUUCAUUGCAAAUUAUCAAGAGGCCAACUUGCUCACCCCUCCUUCAUAAAGUCGCAAUUUUGUUGGGGCAACAAAGGACCAUCUAAACCUUCCUUAAAUACCUUUAAUAACAAUAACAACGAGCCAAUAAAACGAUCUUAGGAUAAAUGCUACCGUAGGGAUAACAGGUUAAUUUUUCUCGAGAGCCCACAUUAACAGAAAAGUUUG